AACAGACGAGGAGCUUGCUCCUCUGACGUUAGCGGCGGACGGGUGAGUAACACGUGGAUAACCUACCUAUAAGACUGGGAUAACUUCGGGAAACCGGAGCUAAUACCGGAUAAUAUAUUGAACCGCAUGGUUCAAUAGUGAAAGACGGUUUUGCUGUCACUUAUAGAUGGAUCCGCGCCGCAUUAGCUAGUUGGUAAGGUAACGGCUUACCAAGGCAACGAUGCGUAGCCGACCUGAGAGGGUGAUCGGCCACACUGGAACUGAGACACGGUCCAGACUCCUACGGGAGGCAGCAGUAGGGAAUCUUCCGCAAUGGGCGAAAGCCUGACGGAGCAACGCCGCGUGAGUGAUGAAGGUCUUCGGAUCGUAAAACUCUGUUAUUAGGGAAGAACAAAUGUGUAAGUAACUAUGCACGUCUUGACGGUACCUAAUCAGAAAGCCACGGCUAACUACGUGCCAGCAGCCGCGGUAAUACGUAGGUGGCAAGCGUUAUCCGGAAUUAUUGGGCGUAAAGCGCGCGUAGGCGGUUUUUUAAGUCUGAUGUGAAAGCCCACGGCUCAACCGUGGAGGGUCAUUGGAAACUGAAGAACUUGAGUGCAGAAGAGGAAAGUGGAAUUCCAUGUGUAGCGGUGAAAUGCGCAGAGAUAUGGAGGAACACCAGUGGCGAAGGCGACUUUCUGGUCUGUAACUGACGCUGAUGUGCGAAAGCGUGGGGAU
rnacentral:rRNA from 1 species